GAAGAGAACAACAGCCUCUGGAACUACAGUUAUAUGCAGCCACCAGUUAUUUAACAUGGGAUUUGAACCUGGGUCCUCUGCAAAAGCAGAUGCUUGUCAACAGAAUAUCCACACUUCACAGUUUGACAGAGCCAGUCUUGGGCUAUGGGUGUCAUGCUGGCACGCUUCUUAGCAGACCUUCUUUCACCUGGCUAUGGAAGUUAGCCAAUGGAAUAAAUUGAUUUAUGAGUCCAAGUUCACGUGACCAUAGAGCACGGAGGGCUGGAAUAGUUGAGAACUGCACAUCUGUGUACAAAUCAAAAG